CAAGGAUUCACAUGCGCGGGAUUAAGUGGGAUAAAAGAAUUAUGAAGACUAUUCCUGUAAGGAUAAAGGAAAAUUGCUAUAAGCCACUGUAGCCUCUGGACCGUCCUGCCUGGUUUUGGCCCUUCCCAAGCAAAGGUGAUUCUGCAGCCUGGAGGGAGCCAGCGAGCCCACCGACAGCCAGCCAGCCGGCGAACUCCCUCGCCCGUCGCUGCAGUCAUGCUGGGGCCGAGCACACGAGCACCACUCUUUUGAAUGAUCCCCGGAUGCGUUUCCACCUCCUCGUUAGCAGCCCUCUUCAAGGACGAGCACCCACCUCUGCAGAUUCGGGAGUAAUUCGGGAGAAACCAGGGGAUGAGGAAAAGAGGAAGGAAAGAAAGAAAGAUGAGAGGGAGCAUUAAAGAUUGGAGACUAAAAACAAACAAACAAAAAACCAAAGCAGGGUUAACCUCUUCUUGCAUUUACCAAAGCCGUCUCCCUUAAAGCGAUCCUUCCAUCUGCUUCGGCCCAACCCCCCAAAAAAGUAAUAGCUCAAUAAUUGGGCCAAAAAGAUCCAGUUUGACCAUGAAUCUGGGUCAGGCUGGAGUGCAUUUCCCCGCGUGUCCUGUGACAGCUGGGAAACAGCACUGCGCUGCUCCACAAGUGGAACAACCUGGAGAUUCUAGUCCUCAAGAUACUCAAUAAAAGGCUAUUUGAAUGGGAAUAGAGGACACUGCCUUACACCAAAGGCGCCGAGGGUCCACCUCACCUUAGGGUUACUAUCUCAGAUGGCAGAGAGGGUGUUCACAAAUCGGAGAAACCACUGAUCUGGGAGAUGGGACAGGAAACAGGGGUUUGUUCUCUUGCCCAUAAACCCACCCACACCUACUUGGCUCCCUCUUUUCCCCAUCAAACAGGAACAGGAAUACUCACUGCAUCA